GAUGAACGCUGGCGGCGUGCUUAACACAUGCAAGUCGAACGAAGCACUUUAUUUGAUUUCUUCGGAAUGAAGAUUUUGUGACUGAGUGGCGGACGGGUGAGUAACGCGUGGGUAACCUGCCUCAUACAGGGGGAUAACAGUUGGAAACGACUGCUAAUACCGCAUAAGCGCACAGGGUCGCAUGACCUGGUGUGAAAAACUCCGGUGGUAUGAGAUGGACCCGCGUCUGAUUAGCCAGUUGGUGGGGUAACGGCCUACCAAAGCGACGAUCAGUAGCCGACCUGAGAGGGUGACCGGCCACAUUGGGACUGAGACACGGCCCAAACUCCUACGGGAGGCAGCAGUGGGGAAUAUUGCACAAUGGGGGAAACCCUGAUGCAGCGACGCCGCGUGAGCGAAGAAGUAUUUCGGUAUGUAAAGCUCUAUCAGCAGGGAAGAAGAAAUGACGGUAC
rnacentral:rRNA from 1 species